rnacentral:misc_RNA from 1 species
ACACCUCAACUCAUUGUGGUUUUCCAUGAUGAGCUUGGACUUUGGGGGUUUUGCUGGCCCUAUGGUCAGCUCCUCUAAAAUAGAUCAGCUUACCAGUGUUUGGUGGGUAUCAUGGGUGUGAUAACUAUCUACGCUUGUGGUUUUUCCACCAGAUAACCUUCAGCAGUGGAGGUUCACUGGAGCUCAUAGAUGUCUCUCCUUAGCGAGGACAGCCCUUUGAAU